rnacentral:rRNA from 1 species
UACGAAGGGGGGCUAGCGUUGUUCGGAAUCACUGGGCGUAAAGCGCACGUAGGCGGAUCUUUUAAGUCAGAGGUGAAAGCCUGGAGCUCAACUCCAGAACUGCCUUUGAUACUGGGGAUCUCGAGUCCGGGAGAGGUGAGUGGAACUGCGAGUGUAGAGGUGAAAUUCGUAGAUAUUCGCAAGAACACCAGUGGCGAAGGCGGCUCACUGGCCCGGUACUGACGCUGAGGUGCGAAAGCGCGGG